CACCUAAACCUUCCUUCAACUCAAUCCAAACCCAAGGCAACACAUCCUUACUCUCUCUCAUUUCUCAUCUUUGGCCCUUCACUCGGUCUCAAAUUCUUUCCAUCUCUCUGUCUCUCGCUUCUCGAAUUCAAAGCUCAACAGCCACCACCCUCUCACAGUCUUACUUUGACGAACUUUCUUCGCUCUGGCCACCACGACCCCUCUCUAUGUGGGGUUUCAUAUAAGGUUAGGGUUUCAAAGUGGGGCUUCAUCCUCACCUCCGAUUCUACCUGUAUUUAUAUCUUUUCUUAUGCAGACUAUGAUGUACCUUUGACAACAAUUCAAACCUUUGUUGUGAGAAUGCAUGUUUAGGAGCUUGCAUCAUUUGUUCUUGUAAGGUUCUGUCUAGUUUACUCGAAAAAGAAAGUUGCUUUGAUUAUAGGUGGAAGUUUCAUGGGGAAAUGUAUGCAUUCUCAAUAAAUGAGAUCAGGAUGCAAAUUUCAUUAUACUUUAUAAAAGUGGCACUGAUCUCCUGGAAUUGAUUCUCUCUGUAAUUGUUUACAGUUUCUCACACAGAAAUACACAUGAGCACAUGCACAGACAGACAUUCUCUCACACUUAUCUUUUGCUUUGCUUCUUACUUUUUUUGUUACUCCUUGAUCAAAUAAGUUGGUGUUAUUGGAAUCUAUAUUUCUUACAUUGCUUUUCCAAUGGAUUCUGUCACCGUAACUUGGUUACCUGACUGCCUGAAAACCCAAAAUUAUUUCAGGAUUCCCGAUCUGUCCAGAAAUCCUGAAACUAUUUCGGGAUUCCGAAAAUUUGGUUUGAGAUUGGUCUUGAAAUUGGGAUUCCUGAAAACUUCGGUUUGGAAUCGGGAUAUAAUUUUCGGUUCAGUAUCCCAUACCGAACCAUCCCUAUGACGUCAUUGAAGAAACUUUUUAGACUGUAUCAGACUGUCAAAAUGCAACCCAUAGAGAGAGACACACAGAGAAGGCUAGCAUCUGCGUGUCUCAAAUGAGAUGGAAGAAGAGAUUAUUCGGGUUCUAAGCCAAAAUUUGUUUAUUGCAGUAUGCAUAUCACUACAACAUCGAAACAAAAACUUAGAUCGAUAUAGUGAUACACAUAUAACAAAAUACUUGAUCAUAUAAUCUAAUGAAAUCAGUUACAAGUCCAAAUUGAACCAACUGAUUUGGUUUGGUUGUUUUUGUAUGUUCCUCCAAAGUAAUGCAUUGCGUUUCAGUAAGUAGAUUUUUGGGCAUUUUAAGUCAAAGUAGAGAAAUUACUAAAUGCUGUGCAAAAUGUGGUCAAGUGUUACUUGACUUGGUGAUUUUGGUUAAAGUAGGGAAAUUACUAAAUUGCCGUGCAAAACUGAAUUUUUUCUUUUUUAUCAUGCAGUGUAUUAUAGUUAUCCCAAGAAAUUUAUAGAAUGCCCAAACAGAGAUAUGUUCGUAUCCCAUUCCACAAGGUAUCAUCAGAUACGUCACGUAUAUCAUCAAUCAAUCAGUUAAGCCAAAAUGGCGACAGAAAUGAAAGGUUGAAGUCCUCGAGAGGCAAACAGAUAAACCAUCCUUCCCCGACUCCUCAUCGCCUUAGAAGUGAUAAGCUCUUGGUUUUCGACCAGAUUGUUGUAUGUAGGUUCAUAACAGUAAUAAGAAAGCUUGAAGAUUAACAGCUAUGGCGGCAAGAGAGAAAUAGACACUUAAGAAGAAAGAAAACUGAUUCCAUGCAAUACAACUCUAGGUAAUUACACAAUUAUCCUUUCUGCCUAUUUAUAGUAAUGAGGUAGCUUAUUAAGUAAGCUAACCUCCUAACUAACUACAUCUUUAGGAUCAUGACACCUAUCAUUAAUAAACUUGUGCACAAGAGGAAACAACCAGGUAAACUUGGUGUAGUCAUCAAUAAAACUGACAUGGUAUUUAUAACCUUCAAUCGAUACAACCGGUGAGGGACUCCAGACAUCACUACAAAUUCUUUGAAAUGGCUUCACAGAUACAUGUGAGUUAGAAGGAAAUACUUGUCUAGACAUUUUUCCAUUGAGACAAAAACUGCAUACAUGUUUCUCUAUAUCUGAUUUAUACAAAACUUUAGAAUGAGACAACAUACUAUGUAACACAUUACUAGGAUGUCCUAAUCUGUGGUGCCACAAAGAAGCCUUCAUCAUUUGCCCAAGAAAUGCUUUUGGAUUAGAAACACCUUGCUGCUUAUUCUGCUGCUUACUCUACUUGAAAGAUAGACUCUUUGGGAUGUAAUACAGACCUCCACUACUUCUUUCUUUCAUUAGGAUUGCCUUUGUUGCCUUGUCCUGCACCCAAAAACCAUAUUUAUCCAGAAUUACAUAACAAUUGUUAUCUUUACAUAAUGUAUACAUUGAUAACAAGCUAAGGAACGUGCAAUAUAGUAGCAAGAUAUAACAUUUUAGAAUUAGUUUUGAAUUGGAACUAGUAUUUUUCACAGGUAGGCACUCCCCACUGCUAACAGUGAUUUUCUAAUCCCCUUCAAAUGGUGUCAAUAUCUGCAG
rnacentral:lncRNA from 1 species